rnacentral:rRNA from 1 species
AUUGCAGGCUGCAACUCGCCUACAUGAAGCUGGAGUUGCUAGUAAUCGCGAAUCAGCAUGUCGCGGUGAAUACGUUCCCGGGCCUUGUACACACCGCCCGUCACACCAUGAGAGUUGGCAAUACCCAACGUACGUGAUCUAACCCGCAAGGGAGGAAGCGUCCUAAGGUAGGGUCAGCGAUUGGGGUGAAGUCGUAACAAGGUAAC